rnacentral:lncRNA from 1 species
GAAGAACUUUGUGGAUAUUAAUGCCAUCCGUUUGUUUGUUCAGAAGAAUCCUAUUCCUACCCUGGUUGGGGAUGUUUAUUACUCGGUCCAUAAUCGGAACGAGAAGAGGCGUGGGGGAUUGAUCAGAUGUGGUGCUCAGCUACUAUACAAAUGGUUCAUGGGAUAUUUGCCUUCCAAGGGUGCUUUUGUUCUUCUUGACCAUAUUGUAAAUUGGGC